GAUGAAGAACGUAGCGAAAUGCGAUACUUGGUGUGAAUUGCAGAAUCCCGUGAACCAUCGAGUUUUUGAACGCAAGUUGCGCCCGAAGCCAUUCGGCCGAGGGCACGUCUGCCUGGGUGUCACGCAUCGUUGCCCCCCCAAACUCCGGUUCGGGCGGGGCGGAAGUUGGCCUCCCGUGCGUGCCUGCGCGCGCGGUUAGCCCAAAAGCGAGUCCUCGGCGAUGAGCGCCACGACAAUCGGUGGUUUUUUUACCCUCGUUCCUCGUCGUGCGUGCCCCGUCGCCCGAACGCGCUCUUGCAACCCUUACGCGUCGCCUCGGUGGCGCUCCCAACGCGACCCCAGGUCAGGCGGGACUACCCGCUGAGUUUAAGCAUAUCAAUAAGCGGAGGA
rnacentral:misc_RNA from 1 species